rnacentral:lncRNA from 1 species
GAAUUGAUGAAAUCUUAUCUUAUUAUUAAUUUGUUUUUUAUUCAGUUUAGUAGCAUUAUCUUAAGUUUAUUAGCAGUUAUUCUUGUUGUCAGACUGGAAUUAAAGAGAUGAAGCUAAUAAGAUGUAAGAUCUAUGAAUUAGUUUAUAAAACACACCCAUAUUUCAUUAAAAGUGAAGAAUGUUAACUUUUCUCAUUUGCAAAUUCUGCUUUAGUUCCCCAGAAAUAAAAAAAAAAAAUCAUAAAGUGAAUAAAUGACUCAUGGCCAAAACAUCUAAUAAAAAUUGUGAUCAUUCUUUCAAGAAUUCUUUCUCUUGACACAUGAAUUUUUCAUGUGGUAGUACUCUUUUUGUGCACUUUACAGUGGAAUGGAAUUUGAGCAUGAGUAUUUUUCUUCUCUUCCGCAGUGACCAGUAAUCCCUUCAGAAGGCAAUGAAUGAUAUCCAGGGUCUCACUGAGAAACGAAAACUACCGAUCCUCCUUUGGUUGCAGCUAAAGCAAAGAAUAAACAGAGUGUGGACCAGUUCUCAUGCCAGUGUGUCUGAUUUUCUUUUCCCCUUCCUCCACUUCAGAAUUCGGCCCACUGGGCUAUGGCUCUGCCCCUUCAGGGUUCUGAACAGAAGACAGCGACACCAACUCAGGCCUCUGGGUUCUCACCUGACUCCUGAGUUCUUC